rnacentral:sRNA from 1 species
GAAAGUGGAGUUUCAGGUCUGCUGAGGCUGAGAUCAACCAAUUGGUGAAGGACUCAAGAAUUCUUACUGCAUAUCUGUUCCUGGAAGAAUAUGAUGCUAAGAGAAAAAGAACCACAUUUUUGAAUGACCUGAUACUCGAUACUCCAAGCUAUUAUGGAAAAAGCAGGACAAAAUGGUUGGCAUGUCAGCGCUAUAUGUGUGGAAAAUUUUAAUGAUGUCAGCUAUAGGCAACUUCUAGAAGAACUUGAUAGAAGACAAGAGAAGAAGUUUGUAAUAGACUGUGAGAUAGAGAGACUUCAAAACAUAUUAGAACAGAUUGUAAGUGUUGGAAAGCAUGUUAAAGGCUACCAUUAUAUCAUUGCAAACUUGGGAUUCAAGGAUAUUUCUCUUGAGAGGUUUAUACAUGGUGGAGCCAAUGUUACUGGAUUCCAGUUGGUGGAUUUUAAUACACCUAUGGUAAUCAAACUAAUGGAUCGCUGGAAGAAACUAGAUCAGAGAGAGUAUCCAGGAUCUGAGACUCCUCCAAAGUACACCUCUGCUCUGACUUAUGAUGGAGUCCUUGUGAUGGCUGAAACUUUCCGAAGUCUUAGGAGGCAGAAAAUUGAUAUCUCAAGGAGAGGAAAUGCUGGGGAUUGUCUGGCAAAUCCUGCUGCUCCAUGGGGCCAGGGAAUUGACAUGGAGAGGACACUCAAACAGGU